GUCUGGGCCGCACGCGCGCUACACUGACGGAGCCAGCGAGUAUUAACCUUGGCCGAGAGGUCUGGGAAAUCUUGUGAAACUCCGUCGUGCUGGGGAUAGAGCAUUGUAAUUAUUGCUCUUCAACGAGGAAUUCCUAGUAAGCGCAAGUCAUCAGCUUGCGUUGAUUACGUCCCUGCCCUUUGUACACACCGCCCGUCGCUACUACCGAUUGAAUGGCUUAGUGAGGCCUUCGGAUUGGUUUAAGGAAGGGGGCAACUCCAUCCUGGAACCGAAAAGUUGGACAAACUUGGUCAUUUAGAGGAAGUAAAAGUCGUAACAAGGUUUCCGUAGGUGAACCUGCGGAAGGAUCAUUACAGUUAUUAAUUCUUUGCCAGCGCUUAAUUGCGCGGCGGGAACUAAUCCUUACACACUGUGUUUUUUGUUAUUACAAGAACUAUUGCUUUGGCUUGGCCUUCGGGUUGGGCCAGAGACUUGAAUAAACUUCAAUUUUUUAUUGAAUUGUUUUUUAAAUUAUUGUCAAUUUGUUUGAUUAAAUUCAAAAUAAUCUUCAAAACUUUCAACAACGGAUCUCUUGGUUCUCGCAUCGAUGAAGAACGCA
rnacentral:rRNA from 1 species